CAGCAGCCACGGUAAUACGGAGGGUGCAAGCGUUAAUCGGAAUUACUGGGCGUAAAGCGCACGCAGGCGGUUUGUUAAGUCAGAUGUGAAAUCCCCGAGCUUAACUUGGGAACUGCAUUUGAAACUGGCAAGCUAGAGUCUUGUAGAGGGGGGUAGAAUUCCAGGUGUAGCGGUGAAAUGCGUAGAGAUCUGGAGGAAUACCGGUGGCGAAGGCGGCCCCCUGGACAAAGACUGACGCUCAGGUGCGAAAGCGUGGGGAGCAAACAGGAUUAGAUACCCGAGUAGUCCCUGUCUCUUAUAC
rnacentral:rRNA from 1 species